rnacentral:rRNA from 1 species
CCAAUAGCGUAUAUUAAAGUUGUUGCAGUUAAAAAGCUCGUAGUUGAAUUUCGAGACCGGCUUACUGGUCGUGCUAUUGUGCGUACUGGUAUAAUCGGUUUCUCCUUUCUGACGAACUAUAAUGCCAUUAAUUUGGUGUUAUAGGGAACCAGGACUGUUACUUUGAAAAAAUUAGAGUGUUUAAAGCAGGCUCACGCUUGAAUACAUUAGCAUGGAAUAACGGAAUAGGACGUUUGAUUCUAUUUUGUUGGUUUCUAGGAUCGACGUAAUGAUUAAUAGGGAUAGUUGGGGGCAUUAGUAUUCAAUUGUCAGAGGUGAAAUUCUUGGAUUUAUUGAAGACUAACUACUGCGAAAGCAUUUGCCAAGGAUGUUUUCAUUAAUCAAGAACGAAAGUUAGGGGAUCGAAGACGAUCAGAUACCGUCGUAGUCUUAACCAUAAACUAUGCCGACUAGGGAUCGGAUGAUGUUAAUUUUUUAAUGACUCAUUCGGCGCCUUACG